GGAAGAUAAACAAUUUUAUUGCCAAUACCCUUAUUAACAUAAGAUUUUCUAAAAAAUUUCAAAGAGCCGCUCUUUGUUAACAUCUCAGAUAAGGCCUCGUGUUUGUACAAGCUAUUUGCAGUACAUAUUUGGAAAACAAAUGAUGGUACCUCCUUCCUCCUACAAAUUCUUUAUAAUCUAUAUAAUCUAUAUAAGUAUCGAGUGUUUUCUUUUCAUCUUUCGUCAGACUAUUCGACAAUCUCUUUGCGUCAGAAAAGGACAUGCGUAUAUGCAAGGCAGUCCGGAUGCAAUAAUUCAAGACUUUUACAGUCGUACCUGACUGACACUCCAAUGAUUAUUGACGCGUACAUGAGCUGGUACAAACUUAAGAUUCAAGGUGUACUCGGUCUUAAAAUGAAGCACAUAAAGCAUUCAGUAACCUGACACUAGGAGUUCCUUUGACAAUAUACAAUGCAAUAUGAUCUCAGAUGUAUCAUACCAUGAUUUCUUCAUCUCAAUGUGCAGUCUUGCAACCAGACAUGUUUCUUGUGCGCCCAACACAACGUUUCGCCUUUCAAAUUGUGUGAAAUUACAGCAUAAGUCCCACAGUUUAUGACAGAGAUUGUAGAUUAAGGAGCUCAAUUGCAUAUACAAACACUACCGUACAAUCAACUCCGACAUUCCUGAAGGCUGCUUUCCAGUUGAACGCUUGAAAUCUCUUCAGAUGUUACUUAUGAAAGAACUGAGUAAAAGAACAGCAUUUAGAUUUGUGUAGUUGUUCAGGUAUUAGUUAGUACUAAUAAUUUGAAUGAAAAGAAGGAAAAAGUCGCUUCGCGCGAACAAACUCGCCUAGUGGAAAAUGGGCUUAAUUGGAAUGUCACAUCUCAUCCCAUGAGUCCAAUCCAUUUAUGUUUGUCAUGUUUAAUGCCAAGUAGUCAUGUCUUAUACAUGAAAGUUCCGACUACAGUACAUUAUGGUACCGCGUAGACAUUGAUACUGGCGUACCUACGUAAGUACUGUACGCGAUUAAUCUCACUUAAGUAUAUGAAGGUAAACUCUCAAAAGAACAUCGAAGACGAUAAUUAAUAUCUAUCCGUAAGUAUAAUUUAAAACAAACAUUUUAUUAGCCAAACACUUUCAAACCUAGUACGAAAUUCUUAGAUUUAUCUUAUUGUCAACACGACUGAUCAUAUUUAAAACAUGGCUAACGUUUAUAACGUCUAUAUUGUCCUUCCAUCUACAGAGCGAAUAGAAUAAGAAAGGCCAUCAUAAGACAAAAUAGCCCCAUAGCUUCUGAUAAGGCGAAACCCAUAAUAGCAUACGAGAAUAACUGUGGUUUCAGAGAUGGAUUUCUUGCAUAGCCAAUUAUAAGACUGCCAAACACAGUUCCAAUUCCCGCUCCACUGCCUA